rnacentral:rRNA from 1 species
UACGAAGGGGGCUAGCGUUGUUCGGAAUUACUGGGCGUAAAGCGCACGUAGGCGGAUACUUAAGUCAGGGGUGAAAUCCCGGGGCUCAACCCCGGAACUGCCUUUGAUACUGGGUAUCUCGAGUCCGGAAGAGGUGAGUGGAAUUCCGAGUGUAGAGGUGAAAUUCGUCGAUAUUCGGAGGAACACCAGUGGCGAAGGCGGCUCACUGGUCCGGUACUGACGCUGAGGUGCGAAAGCGUGGGGAGCAAACAGG